AUGCAAACUCGAUGAAUGGGCCAUGCGCUAAAAGGAACGAUCGUUGUGAUAUGCGUUAAUCGACCGUUACAUAUCACAGUGAUUUUCCUUUAUAGCGCGUGCAGUCCCCCAGACUACAAUAUG
rnacentral:pre_miRNA from 15 species